GGAUAACUACGCGAAAGCGUAGCUAAUACCGCAUACGCCCUACGGGGGAAAGCAGGGGAUCGCAAGACCUUGCACUAUUGGAGCGGCCGAUAUCGGAUUAGCUAGUUGGUGGGGUAACGGCUCACCAAGGCGACGAUCCGUAGCUGGUUUGAGAGGACGACCAGCCACAUUGGGACUGAGACACGGCCCAGACUCCUACGGGAGGCAGCAGUGGGGAAUCUUCCGCAAUGGACGAAAGUCUGACGGAGCAACGCCGCGUGAGUGAUGACGGCCUUCGGGUUGUAAAGCUCUGUUAAUCGGGACGAAUGGUUCUUGUGCGAAUAGUGCGAGGAUUUGACGGUACCGGAAUAGAAAGCCACGGCUAACUACGUGCCAGCAGCCGCGGUAAUACGUAGGGCGCGAGCGUUGUCCGGAAUUAUUGGGCGUAAAGGGCUUGUAGGCGGUUGGUCGCGUCUGCCGUGAAAUCCUCUGGCUUAACUGGGGGCGUGCGGUGGGUACGGGCUGACUUGAGUGCGGUAGGGGAGACUGGAACUCCUGGUGUAGCGGUGGAAUGCGCAGAUAUCAGGAAGAACACCGGUGGCGAAGGCGGGUCUCUGGGCCGUUACUGACGCUGAGGAGCGAAAGCGUGGGGAGCGAACAGGAUUAGAUACCCUGGUAGUCCACGCUGUAAACGUUGGGCACUAGGUGUGGGGGCCACCCGUGGUUUCUGCGCCGUAGCUAACGCUUUAAGUGCCCCGCCUGGGGAGUACGGCCGCAAGGCUAAAACUCAAAGGAAUUGACGGC
rnacentral:rRNA from 1 species